UACGUAGGGUGCAAGCGUUGUCCGGAAUUAUUGGGCGUAAAGAGCUCGUAGGCGGUCUGUCGCGUCUGCUGUGAAAACUCAGGGCUUAACCCUGAGCUUGCAGUGGGUACGGGCAGACUAGAGUGCGGUAGGGGAGACUGGAAUUCCUGGUGUAGCGGUGAAAUGCGCAGAUAUCAGGAGGGAACACCGGUGGGCGAAGGCGGGUCUCUGG
rnacentral:rRNA from 1 species